rnacentral:rRNA from 1 species
GAUGAACGCUGGCGGCGUGCCUAAUACAUGCAAGUCGAGCGACCAGACGAUGAGCUUUUUCCUCUGCCGUUAGCGGCGGGCGGGCGGGUGACGCGUGGAUCGCCUUCCUCUCUUACUUGGGUGACUACGUGAAACCAGUUCUGAUACUACAUCAUAUCUUCUACCGCUUGAUUCAAUAGUUCUUGACGCCUUUCCUGUCACUUAUAGCUGAAUCCGCGCCGGCUUAGCUAGUUGGUAAGGUAACGGCUUACCAAGGCGACGAUGCGUAGCCGACCUGAGAGGGUGAUCGGCCACACUGGAACUGAGACACGGUCCAGACUCCUACGGGAGGCAGCAGUAGGGAAUCUUCCGCAACGGGCGAAAGCCUGACGGAGCAACGCCGCGUGAGUGAUGAAGGUCUUCGGAUCGUAAAACUCUGUUAUUAGGGAAGAACAAAUGUGUAAGUAACUAUGCACGUCUUGACGGUACCUAAUCAGAAAGCCACGGCUAACUACGUG